CUCUAUGCCUGGAUCUUGCCAGAACUUUUGGGAUGGAGGCCUGAACUUUGGUCAUGAGAAGUGGGGAGAAGACCCUUUCACACUGUCCCUUACCGAGGGAGACCAACAAAUGACAGUAGAGUAUUCAUAGAAUGCCUCAUCCACCCCCACUCAGGGACAACCUCCUGGGAACUAAAACCCCUUUGAUGCAUCGUAACGAGCAGGUGUCAAAGGCCAUGAUUUACAACAUGGAAACUGAAGAGAAGAGCUGUCCUGAAUAUGUCCAAGACCACACAACCAUGAUAAGAAACCCCGUGUUCCUCCCCCGGCGCCAGGGCACGAUUGUGAAUGUCCAUCUCCACCCUACUUGGCGGCGGGGAGGAGGGGGGUACUUAACAAAAUUUUGCAUCGAGGUUUCUGUUCAACUAAAGGCAAGGCUGAAAAGUCACCCCAUGGAAUGAAUGCCCGGCUUCCCAUGGGUUCUGGCACCUCGGAGCCAUCACCUACUUCCCACCAACCAGCAGAAAGACCCGAAGAUCAUCAGGACUCAUUUGAGACCCAUGUGGAAAAUGGGCUGCCAUGGUCUCGGUAAUGUCUUGCUUAAUGGUAUUCAUCUAAUAACUGUGGGUUUGGGAAACUGGAUCUUCUCAGUGAUAUAAAGCUGUGCU